UCCUAAGGCGAGCUCAGCGAGGACAGAAACCUCGCGUAGAGCAAAAGGGCAAAUGCUUGCUUGAUCUUUUGCUCUACGCGAGACAGUUGAUAAGGCAAGUGUCUGCCUUAUCAACUGUCGAUGGUAGGUUAUGCGCCUACCAUGGUUGUUACGGGUAACGGAGAAUCAGGGUUCGAUUCCGGAGAGGGAGCCUGAGAAACGGCUACCACAUCCAAGGAAGGCA
rnacentral:rRNA from 1 species